GCGGAUGUAGCUCAGUUGGUAGAGCGCCGGUUUGUGGUACCGGUGGUCGCGGGUUCAAGUCCCGUCAUUCGCCCCA
rnacentral:tRNA from 5 species